GACGUAGGGGGCUAGCGUUGUCCGGAAUCAUUGGGCGUAAAGCGCGUGUAGGCGGUCCGGUAAGUCCGCUGUGAAAGUCGGGGGCUCAACCCUCGGAUGCCGGUGGAUACUGUCGGGCUUGAGUACGGAAGAGGCGAGUGGAAUUCCUGGUGUAGCAGUGAAAUGCGCAGAUAUCAGGAAGAACACCCGUGGCGAAGGCGGCUCUCUGGGACGGUACUGACGCUGAGACGCGAAAGCGUGGGGAGCAAACAGG
rnacentral:rRNA from 1 species